rnacentral:rRNA from 1 species
AUUGAACGCUGGCGGCAGGCUUAACACAUGCAAGUCGAACGAGUGGCGGACGGGUGUGUAAUGUCUGGGAAAAUCCGCGUGGGAGGGGGAGAAAUACACGAAACGCUAGCUCAAAUCGCACACCAUCGGAUGUGCCCAGAUGUGAUUAGCGUGUAGGUGAGGCAACGGCUCACCCCGGCGACGAUCCCUAGCUGGUCUGAGAGGAUGACCAGCAACACGGGAACGAAGACACGGUCCAGACUCCUACGGGAGGCAGCAGUGGGGAAUAUUGCACAAUGGGCGCAAGCCUGAUGCAGCCAUGCCGCGUGUAUGAAGAAGGCCUUCGGGUGGUAAAGUACUUUCAGCGAGGAGGCGUUACCCGCAGAAGAAGCACCGGCUAACUCCGUGCCAGCAGCCGCGGUAAUUC